UUCCCGGAGCGGCCGGGCCGGGGGAGCCCCGGGCCCCCCGAGCAUCGCCCGGCCCGGGGGUCCCCGGGGGUCCCCGGGGGUGCCGAACCCGCCCCGCGCCCGGCUCGGCAGGAGCGGAGGAGGCGGCGCCAUGCAGGAGAGCUACGAGUCCCUGAUCCUGCUGGAUUUCCCCAUCCCCAAGCCCAACAUUGUGUCCCGGCUGGAGCCCGAGGAGGAGCUGGGGGUGCCCGACCCCAACGACUCCAAGGAGUGGGAGAUCCUCAGGGUGGCCCCUGCAGAUGACUCCGCCCCCCCGAGCGAUGACGACGAUGACCCCGCCCCCG